GCGCGAAAACUUUACAAUGCUGGCAACAGCGAUAAGGGAACCUCGAGUGCCAGGUUACAAAUCUGGCUGUCGAGAUGCCUAAAAAGCAUCUCAUAGCAAGGGCCGGGCAAGACCGGUGCCAGCCGCCGCGGCAACACAGGCGGCUCGAGUGGUAACCGUUAUUAUUGGGUCUAAAGGGUCUGUAGCCGGCCGGAUAAGUCUCUUGAGAAAUCUGGCAGCUUAACUGUCAGGCUUUCAGGGGAUACUGUCUGGCUCGAGGCCGGGAGAGGUGAGAGGUACUUCAGGGGUAGGGGUGAAAUCUUGUAAUCCUUGAAGGACCACCAGUGGCGAAGGCGGCUCACCAGAACGGACCUGACGGCAAGGGACGAAAGCUAGGGGCACGAACCG
rnacentral:rRNA from 1 species